CUACACGUGAUAGUGGCGAGAUUACCCGUUGAACUUAAGCAUAUCCGUA
rnacentral:rRNA from 1 species